rnacentral:rRNA from 1 species
UACGUAGGGUGCAAGCGUUAAUCGGAAUUACUGGGCGUAAAGCGUGCGCAGGCGGUUUUGUAAGACUGUCGUGAAAUCCCCGGGCUCAACCUGGGAAUGGCGAUGGUGACUGCAAGGCUAGAGUUUGGCAGAGGGGGGUAGAAUUCCACGUGUAGCAGUGAAAUGCGUAGAUAUGUGGAGGAACACCGAUGGCGAAGGCAGCCCCCUGGGUCAAAACUGACGCUGAGGAGCGAAAGCGUGGGUAGCAAACAGG